GAUGCAGCGUUAUCCGGAAUCAUUGGGCGUAAAGCGCCUGUAGGUUGUUUAAUAAGUCUGUUGUUAAAGACUAGGGCUUAACCCUAGAAAAGCAAUGGAAACUACUAGACUAGAGUAUGGCAGGGGUAGAGGGAAUUUCUAGUGUAGCGGUGAAAUGCGUAGAUAUUAGAAAGAACACCGGUGGCGAAAGCGCUCUACUGGACCAUUACUGACACUCAGAGGCGAAAGCUAGGGUAGCAAAAGGGAUUAGAUACCCCUGUAGUCCUAGCCGUAAACGAUGGAUACUACAUGUUGUGUUUAUUUCACAGUAUGGUAGCUAACGCGUUAAGUAUCCCGCCUGGGGAGUACGCUCGCAAGGGUGAAACUCAAAGGAAUUGACGGGGGCCCGCACAAGCGGUGGAGCAUGUGGUUUAAUUCGAUGCAACGCGAAGAACCUUACCAGGGCUUGACAUACUGCGAAUCUUUCCGAAAGGAAAGAGUGCCUUCGGGAAUGCAGAUACAGGUGGUGCAUGGCUGUCGUCAGCUCGUGUCGUGAGAUGUUGGGUUAAGUCCCGCAACGAGCGCAACCCUUGUUUUUAGUUACCAAUUCGUUGGGUUUUCUAGAAAGACUGCCGGUGACAAACCGGAGGAAGGUGAGGAUGACGUCAAGUCAGCAUGCCCCUUAUGUCCUGGGCUACACACGUGCUACAAUGGUUAGGACAAAGAGUUGCGAGCUUGUGAAAGUCAGCUAAUCUCGUAAACCUAGCCCAAGUUCAGAUUGUAGGCUGCAA
rnacentral:rRNA from 1 species